GCCAGGUGUGGUGGUGCAUGCCUGUAAUCCAGUCAUUGGGAGGCCGAGGCAGGAGGAUCAUAAGUUCAAGGCCAGCCUCAGCAACUUAGUGAAGCCCUAAGCAACUUAGUAAGACCCUGUUUCAA
rnacentral:sRNA from 1 species